rnacentral:lncRNA from 1 species
AUCCAGUCAGCUGCUUAGUCACUCUCUCUUUUUUCAUCUUCUAGAUCUGAAAAUGUAUUGCUUUCCUUUUGCUUUUUUUUUCUGAAGAAAGAAAUCCCUUUUGAUCUAUAAAUAGCUGCACAAGGUAAAACUAUGGGGCAAUCUUAAAAAUAUAUUAUAGAGAUGUCAGUUGUGACUCCAUAGCUAAGGUUGUGUUGAGAUCUGAACUUAAAAUUAAGACUAAUGUUCCUCUGCUUCACACUCAGAAGAUUACAUUUAGUGCCCAAAUUUGGCUCAGUAAGUCGUCUGAUGACAAUUGAAUUUUCUGCAUGGUAAUUCAAUACAGUAAUUUACUAACUUUUACUAGAGGAAACAUUUAAAAUUGCUCCCUUUUUGAAAUAUUCUCUUGUUUACUUACACGCACAUACAUUUUGAUAUUAUUACAGGUGUUACCCACUUUUGAACUUUGAAAAUUAAUGACAUUACAAGCUCUUUGCUUUAUUCAAAAUUAUUAUUUUGAGCUACCCAAAGAUUAGCCAGAGGAACUGCUCAGAUCUGUCAGCUGCUUCCGUUUUUCCAAUGCUGUCGGCCUGUUGUCUUAAUUCACCAGCUGUGCACUGCAUGUACCCCAGAACACCAUGUGAGGGAAGAGACAAUAGAAACUGGUUAUGCCAAAUGGAUGCAAUAUAUACUGGUCAAGUGGGAUGGGAGACAAAAGGAGCAUGGAAUAGAAACUGACCUCCUCAGACACUGAGUCAAGUUUGCUGCUACACAUAUGGACUGAGACGCUCACUCCGAGCCACUUCCUUCCACAUCGCGGACCACUGUAACGGUUAUGUGUGUAUCUAUCUUCUUUCCCUCUCAGCGUCGCGAUCCCCCCUCCCCCCUCCCCCUUC